GCCUUCCUUACUUAUGUUCCUAUGAUUUUUUGCAUGAACCUCUAUGUUCAAAAUAGUUGGCUCUCCUUGAGUUAUAUGAUUCUAUGUUAAAUUUUAAGUUCUCUAACCCCUCAACAUAUUGCUGACUCUAUACUCAAGUGCUCCUGCAACUAUGGGUUUACUUAUGUGACCUAUGUUCCCUAAAUCUCACUACCCCCGUUUCUGGUUGUUGAACCUGCAUGGUCAUAUGUUCCUUGGUUAUGUGUGAACCUGUUUUGAGUGUUGUGUUUGGACCGUUGCUUGUUACUCUACUACCUUUUCAAAAUUGUCCUAUUGAAUAACUUCCCUUGUUGUUUUACAAAACUAUUUCAAACAAGUCUCUUUUUUUUUUCAAACUGUUUUCCUGCUUAAAUCUUUUCAAAACUAUGUCAAGCAUUCUCACUAUACUCUUAGACCACUAAGUUCUACCCCUUUUGUGUGAGUCUUCUCUUGGGACCCUUGAGCUUCCUCUGAACUUGGAAAAACAAAAGCUA
rnacentral:lncRNA from 1 species